GGACUACACGGGUUUCUAAUCCUGUUUGCUCCCCACGCUUUCGCGCCUCAGCGUCAGUAUCGGUCCAGAGAGCCGCCUUCGCCACCGGUGUUCUUCCCAAUAUCUACGAAUUUCACCUCUACACUGGGAAUUCCACUCUCCUCUCCCGAACUCAAGCACCAGAGUAUCAAACGCAAUUCCCAGGUUGAGCCCGGGGAUUUCACGCCUGACUUCCAGCGCCGCCUACGCGCCCUUUACGCCCAGUAAUUCCGAACAACGCUCGCCCCCUUCGUAUUACCGCGGCUGCUGGCAC
rnacentral:rRNA from 1 species